AAUAUUGGACAAUGGGCGAAAGCCUGAUCCAGCCAUGCCGCGUGUGUGAAGAAGGUCUUCGGAUUGUAAAGCACUUUAAGUUGGGAGGAAGGGGUUGAAGCUACUACCUUCAAUCUCUGACGUCACCAAUACAAUAAGCACCGGCUAACUCUGUGCCAGAUGCUGCGGCAAUACAGAGGUUGCAAGCGUUAAUCGGAAUUACUGGGCGUAAAGCGCGCGUAGGUGGUUCAGUAAGAUGGAAGUGAAAUCCCCGGGCUUAACCUGGGAACGGCUUUCAUAACUGCUGAGCUAGAGUGCGGUAGAGGGUAGUGGAAUUUCCUGUGUAGCGGUGAAAUGCGUAGAUAUAGGAAGGAACACCAGUGGCGAAGGCGACUACCUGGACUGAUACUGACACUGAGGUGCGAAAGCGUGGGGAGCAAACA
rnacentral:rRNA from 1 species